CACGUAGGGGGCGAGCGUUGUCCGGAUUUAUUGGGCGUAAAGAGCUCGUAGGCGGCUCGGUAAGUGAGGUGUGAAAACUCCAGGCUCAACCUGGAGACACCACCUCAUACUGCCGUGGCUAGAGUCCGGUAGGGGAGCAUGGAAUUCCUGGUGUAGCGGUGAAAUGCGCAGAUAUCAGGAGGAACACCAGUGGCGAAGGCGGUGCUCUGGGCCGGAACUGACGCUGAGGAGCGAAAGCGUGGGGAGCAAACAGG
rnacentral:rRNA from 1 species